rfam:Pediculus humanus corporis strain TSDA 1103172085537, whole genome shotgun sequence.
CAAACGGCCCUUUUCAGGGCCAACAAUUUUAACACGUGUAACAAGU